CAAUNCAUCGUCUAGCGGUUAGGACACCGCCCUUUCACGGCGGUAACAGGGGUUCGAUUCCCCUUGGGCGUACCA
rnacentral:tRNA from 1 species